CACACUUCAAUCGGUAUAUCGUCUGGGCCCACUGCUUUUCUAUGCUUCAUCUUCUUCAAGGCUACAACCACUUCUUCCUUCCUGAUUCGACGAUAAAAGGAGUAGUUUCUACACUCUUUUGAGUUACUCAACUCCCCUAAAGGAGUACUCCUUUCAUGUCCUUCGUUGAAAAGAUUAUGAAAAUAACCUCUCCAUCUGUCUUUGACCGCGUUCUCUGUAGCAAGAACCUUUCCAU
rnacentral:lncRNA from 1 species